GAUGAACGCUGGCGGCGUGCCUAAUACAUGCAAGUCGAGCGAACGGACGAGAAGCUUGCUUCUCUGAUGUUAGCGGCGGACGGGUGAGUAACACGUGGAUAACCUACCUAUAAGACUGGGAUAACUUCGGGAAACCGUAGCUAAUACCGGAUAAUAUUUUGAACCGCAUGGUUCAAAAGUGAAAGACGGUCUUGCUGUCACUUAUAGAUGGAUCCGCGCUGCAUUAGCUAGUUGGUAAGGUAACGGCUUACCAAGGCAACGAUGCAUAGCCGACCUGAGAGGGUGAUCGGCCACACUGGAACUGAGACACGGUCCAGACUCCUACGGGAGGCAGCAGUAGGGAAUCUUCCGCAAAGGGCGAAAGCCUGACGGAGCAACGCCGCGUGAGUGAUGAAGGUCUUCGGAUCGUAAAACUCUAUUAUUAGGGAAGAACAUAUGUGUAAGUAACUGUGCACAUCUUGACGGUACCUAAUCAGAAAGCCACGGCUAACUACGUG
rnacentral:rRNA from 1 species